GCGGCCGGGCGGGCGGAUGUGUGGCUUAAAUGGCGCAGGCGUCGGGGCCUAGAGGCUGAAGGGCUGGUCGUCCUAAAAACUCGUGGACGUCGCGCACGGUUACCCGGAAGCAGGUCCGCCCCUCCGGGUAACCGCGAGCUUCUCGCGGCUGGAUGGGGACCGUCCUCGCAGUGGCGGCCUCCACACUGGCCUCCCGCUUAGCCGAGGCUUCUGGAAGGCUCGCAAAGUGUCUGUUGAUGGAAGAAGUCGGGCCCUGACUGGCGCGACGAAUUCCCGCAGCCGCUCAGCAGAGCGUCUGUAGGUCGGAAGUGGGGGUUAUAUUGGAAUAUGCUUUUUGUCUGACAUCAAAAAAUUGGAGCAGUUUUCUUAUUCGAGUUCAAAAUGGGUCAUAAAGCAGCGAAGACAACUCAAAACACCAGUAACACAUUUGGCCCAGGAACUGCUAACAAACAUACAGUUCAGUGGUGACUUAAGAAGUUUUGCAAAGGAGAGAGCCUUGAAAAUGAGGAACAUGAUGGCGAGCCAUGGGAAGUUGACAAUGACCAAUUGAGAGCAAUCAUAGAACUACAUGAAAAAUCGCAGAAGAACUCAGCGUUUACUCUUCUAGGGUCAUUAGGGUUGUUUGGCAUUUGAAGCAAAUUGGAAAGGUGAAAAAGCUUGAUAAAUGGGUGCCUCAUGAGCUGAGUGAAAAUCAAAACUGUUGUUUUGAAGUGUAGUCUUUUAUCCUGCGCAACAACAGCAGACCAUUUCUCAAUCGGAUUGUGACAUGCAAUGAAAAGUGGAUUUUAUACGACAGCCAGUUCAGUGGUUGGACCAAGAAGCAGCUCCAAAGCAGUUCCCAAAGCCAAACUUGCACCAAAAAAAGGUCGUGGUCACUGUUUGGUGGUCUGCUGCCAGUCUGAUCCACUACAGUUUUCUGAAUCCUGGCGAAACUAUUACAUCUGAGAAGUAUGCUCAGCAAAUUGAUAAGAUGCACCGAAAACUGCAAUGCCUGCAGCGGCAUUGGUCGACAGAAAGGGCCCAAUUCGACAACACCUGACUGCAUGGCCCACAACCAGCGCUUCAAAAGUUGAAGGAAUUGAGCUACGAAGUUUUGCCUCAUCCUUUAUAUUCACCUGACCUUUCGCCAACUGACUACCAUUUCUUCUAGCAUCUUGACAACUUUUUGCAGGGAAAACACUUCAGCAGGAUGCAGAAAAUGCUUUCCAAGAGUUUCUCAAAUCCUGAAGCAUGGAUCUUUAUGCUACAGGAAUAAAUAAACAUUUCUCAUUGGCAAAAGUGUGUUGACUGUAAUGGUUCCUGUUUUCAUUAAUAAAAUAUGUUUGAGCCUAGUUACAAUGAUUUAAAAUUCGCAGUCUGGAAAUUGACUUUUGCACCAACCUAAUAUUUCGAUGGUAAAUCCUUGCAAACAUGGAAACUGCAUUUGGCCCAGUGCUUUGUGGUUGUGUAUUCUUCCUUUUUUUUUUAAUAGAUGGCAUUGGCUGAGCAUGGUGGCUCACGCCUGUAAUCCCAGCACUUUGGGAGGGUGAGGUGGAUGGAUCACCUGAGGUCAGGAGUUCAAGACCAGCGUGGCCAGCAUGAUAAAACCCCAUCUCUACUAAAAAUAUAAAACAAAAUUGCUACACGUGGUGGCAGGCAUCUGUAAUUCCAGCUACUUUCGGAGGCUGCAACAGGAGAAUCAUUUGAACCCAGGAGGUGGAUGUUGCAGUGAGCUGAGAUGGCGCCAUUGCACUCCAGCCUGGGUGACAAGUGAAAUUCUGUCUCAAAAAAAAAAAAAAAAAAAUAGUUGGGGUCUCGCUGUGUUGACCAGGCUGGUCUCAAACUCCUGGCCUCAAAUGAUCCUCCCAUCUUGGCCUCCCAAAGUGUUAGGAUUACAGGCGUGAGCCACCGCACCCUGCCUGGUUGUAUACUCUUUCAAAAAUUAAGUUUUUAAUGUUAAAUGCUGCUUCUAGAUACAUUGUAAAAAUUCACCUAUCAAUGAGUUUUUUUAUUAAAAACAUUGCAAUUG